UGUUCCAUUUUCUCCAACUAAUAAGCAUUCAAAGAAAAUGAUAAAAUACAAUUGUGCCUUACUACUGCCAUGAUUUUCUCUUUAAUUUCCUUACAGUCGUGCCCUGGGGUGAAAGAGAGUGAAUUCCAAGCGGCUCCGAGACAACCAAGGAUAGCUGGCAGCCCUUCAGCUUCCAAAAGCUUUCAGAGCUGCACUGAUCCAUUGAUGCAGCCAGUUCCAAAAGCUUUCAGGAUGCAGGGGGAGAAGGAGCAUUGGCCGUCCUACUGCAUAGAUUAGGGCAAUCACAGGACACACAAGAAAAAUACCGUGACAAGUGGUGUUCGUACAUGGGGAGUGCCAAUAGCAACUCUUAGAAUGGACAGAGAACAUUUGGUAGAGGGGAAAGAGAUCGGAUUACAUGCAGGAACAAAGGUCGUUUUCUGCAGAGCGCAGUGUUUGCCUGAAGACUGAAUCUUGGCUGGGACUCAGCAUGUCCAACAUCUUAUAAAUGCAUUGGAGGAACAGAAACUUGAAACAGCCAUCUGCUACCAAACCUCAAACGAUAAAUCAUAAAAGUGGCUUCACCAUCAGAAGCUCAGGGCAGUAUCUGGGAGUGUGAAGAUCCCAGAUGGUCUGGAUAAUUCACUCAUAAGAAAGCACAGCCUCCCUCUCUCUUCACGACUUGUCCCUGAUGGAGGCUAGUGUGUGGCAACAAUCGGUUUUGUGGAAUAAAUGUCAUUUGUUGAGUCUUUUUCAGUGUCCACAACUGGGAGAGAAUCCUCCUAUCCCUGGAGCAGAGCCACGCUUGCAUUCAGUCCUAGGCAGUGCCCGCUCUUGCACCAUGAGGUAGGAUGAAGAGUUUGCAGUGGGGCGCAAUGCAUUUCUCCCCCAAAACCUGCUGGUGCCACACACUAAUCUCUAUGCCCCAUGGAAACCUGCUAGAUUGAAGAGUCACUGUCGUGUACAAUCCGAGUAUCCAGUUUCCGAAACUCCUUUUGUUUCACCGGCAGGUUAUUCGGCUCUUUCAAGUUUUAUUCAGUGCUUGGCGAAUGUCGGUUUGUAUGGGGUUCACUUUUUUACAAUCACUUCUGCAUUUUCCAAGAAUUCCCUUUGCUUGGGCUUCAAGAACAUUGCAAAGAUUAGAACUCUCCACAUUUCAGUGGCGACCAGGUUCAGGGGAUUAGCAGUCAACUCCAUGUUUAAGGACAAACAAUGGGCAAAAAACACAACAAAUCCUUCUUCGAUACUGGAUAAAGGCACCUGACUUUUUUUCAUUUUAAAUCUGAAAAAGUACUGAUCUCAAUUGUGGUUAAAACCAAUUUGUCAAUGUAUAUCCUACUUUGACAUAAAUGAACUUCACGUUCC